GUUGAUCCUGCCAAGUAUUAUAUGCUCGUCUCAAAGAUUAAGCCAUGCAUGUGUAAGUAUAAAUAAUUAUAUAGUGAAACUGCGAAUGGCUCAUUAUAUCAGUUAUAGUUUAUUUGAUAAUUAAUUUGAAAUUUCUUUUCGAAAUUUUAAUACUAAUUGGAUAACCGUAGUAAUUCUAGAGCUAAUACAUGAAUUAAAAUCCUAACCUUUAUGGAGAGGAUGUAUUUAUUAGAUGAUAAAACCAAUAUUUUUCCAAGGUGAAUCAUAAUAAUUAAUCGAAUCGUAUGGUUGUAAAAUACUAACGAUAAAUCAUUCAAGUUUCUGCCCUAUCAGCUUUCGAUGGUAGUGUAUUGGACUACCAUGGCAGUAACGGGUAACGAAGAAUUUGGGUUCGAUUUCGGAGAGGGAGCCUGAGAAAUGGCUACCACAUCCAAGGAAGGCAGCAGGCGCGUAAAUUACCCAAUCCUAAUUCAGGGAGGUAGUGACAAUAAAUAACAAUAUAGAACAUUUUUAAUGUUUUAUAAUUGGAAUGAGAACAAUUUAAAAUACUUAUCGAGGAACAAUUGGAGGGCAAGUCUGGUGCCAGCAGCCGCGGUAAUUCCAGCUCCAAUAGUC
rnacentral:rRNA from 1 species